GUUGGUCUCUUGUCUUAAAAACCCUCUUAUCCCAGCGUGUAGAUAACAGAACCGAAGACAGAGGUCCCCCCAGUUCAUAUCCUGAAGCCCUAGCCACCCCCUUAGCAUCUCGGAAAGGGACAGUGUUGAGGGGGGGGUUAAAGAGGUGAUUAAGGCAAAAUGAGGUCAUUGGAUGGGACCCUAAUCCAAACCGACCAGUGUCCUUGUGAGAAAAGAGAUCAGGACACAGACACACAGAGGGUCGACCCGGUGAGGACACAGGGAGGAGCCGGCCGUCCACCUGCCCUGGACAGAGGCCUAGAGAGGAACAGCCGUGCCCACCUGUCCAAGAUCGUCCAGGCGCCAGGACUGGGAAGGAGUUAAAUUAUCCUAAGUGCCCUGAUCGGUUCUUACAGCAGCCUCAGCAAACGAAUUCAGCAGCCCUGAAACGGGUGUCUGCACACCCAGGAUGCAGCAACAUUGCUCUCAACGGCCAAACAGUGAAACAAAAACAACCCACCUGGGCUUCCGUGGACGGAAGGAGAAGUACGGCCUGGCACACCUGUGCAGGUGCCGUGGAGACCAUUCGGCCAGCAAAGGAAGAGAGAGCUGACCCUCGCUGCAGCGUGGACCUCAGCAACACGAUGCUCGGCCAGCAGACACAAAGGCCACGCCCUCUGAUUCCACUUAUGGAGCAGAGACAGCGGGACUGGUGGUGCCAGGGGCUGGGGGACAGGGGGCGCGGGUGUACCUGCUGUGGGGGGGUGAGAAUGUUCUGGAACUAGAGGUGGGGGCAGCACUACACUGUGGUUGUCCAAAACGCCCCUGGAUUGAUGUCCUCCUCCCCUGGCCCCCGUGGCCGCCAUGCCGUCCACUCCCCGUGCUCGCAAGGGCCCUUCUAGACCCCGUUCCUCAGCCCUCCCCCCCACCUGCUCCAGGCAGGGUCUCCUCUCUCUGCUGCCCCUGAGCCACCCCGACCAUGUCCCCAGGGACCCCCAUGGCUUCACCCAGUGGCCACUUCUGGGUCUCCCCCACCUGCCGGCAGAGGCUCCCAUCUGGUCCUCGGCAAAGGCCCCCGUGUGCGCCGAGCUGGGCUGGGCAGCCCCACGUCCUGCCCCUGAGCCCGGCAUGACUUUUUCCUGCGUCUUUUUCUUCACUCCAAAGCCCAUGGGAUCUGACCUUGUACCUCGACCCAGAUGGACAGAGCAGCGCAGGGGCUGGUGGGGGCCACGCGACAGGAGGAAAAGAAAUGGAAGAAACCUGUGCGGUUUGCAAAUCUGCUGA
rnacentral:lncRNA from 1 species